UACGCGGGAUCUUACCGGGUCCGGACACACUGAGGAUUGACAGGCAAUAUAUUAGCAUAAAGACUCGUCUUUAGCGCUAAUUGUUAAAUAUGCUAGUCCUUUCAUGAUUAUGUGAUAGGUGGUGCAUGGCCGUUCUUAGUUCGUGGAGUGAUCUGUCUGCUUAAUUGCGUUUCACUAAGGGCCCAUAAAUUCAAGGUAUGUUAGCAAAUGCUGCUCUAUUGACCCCUAAUAGGCUUAACUGUCUUUAGCGCGUGUCUCUACGAGUUCUUUAAAGCACUGCGCAUGCUGUUGGGUCCUGAAAGCAACGAACGUGACCGCAACGUCUUGUUGCCUCUCUAUAAUACCUUCUUAUUUUUAAUAAGAGUAUUUACCUGAGGCUAUUUUAAAACUAGACGGACCGCUGUUUCUUUCUUAAACCAGAGGAAGGUUGCGGCAAUAACAGGUCUGUGAUGCCCUCAGAAUCCC
rnacentral:rRNA from 1 species